rnacentral:rRNA from 1 species
UAAAGAGUAACGGAGGAGCACGAAGGUUGGCUAAUCCUGGUCGGACAUCAGGAGGUUAGUGCAAUGGCAUAAGCCAGCUUGACUGCGAGCGUGACGGCGCGAGCAGGUGCGAAAGCAGGUCAUAGUGAUCCGGUGGUUCUGAAUGGAAGGGCCAUCGCUCAACGGAUAAAAGGUACUCCGGGGAUAACAGGCUGAUACCGCCCAAGAGUUCAUAUCGACGGCGGUGUUUGGCACCUCGAUGUCGGCUCAUCACAUCCUGGGGCUGAAGUAGGUCCCAAGGGUAUGGCUGUUCGCCAUUUAAAGUGGUACGCGAGCUGGGUUUAGAACGUCGUGAGACAGUUCGGUCCCUAUCUGCCGUGGGCGCUGGAGAACUGAGGGGGGCUGCUCCUAGUACGAGAGGACCGGAGUGGACGCAUCACUGGUGUUCGGGUUGUCAUGCCAAUGGCACUGCCCGGUAGCUAAAUGCGGAAGAGAUAAGUGCUGAAAGCAUCUAAGCACGAAACUUGCCCCGAGAUGAGUUCUCCCUGAGACUUAGAGUCUCCUGAAGGAACGUUGAAGACGACGACGUUGAUAGGCCGGGUGUGUAAGCGCAGCGAUGCGUUGAGCUAACCGGUACUAAUGAACCGUGAGGCUUAACCUUACAACGCCGAAG